CAUGGUUAUCAGAGCACUUUGCCUUUUUUUUUCAAAGACGUGUUUGGAAGCCUAUAAACUUCCCGUGGAAUAAACGACUUGUAUAGAAGAUAAACCAAGGGCAGUGGUAGAAAGGAGGAAAAGGAUAAGAGAUGCAUACAUAAGAGAGCAAUCCUCUCAAAACCGAAUAGGUAUAAUGCGUUUAUAUAUAUAUAUCAAACUAUUACAAAUCAAAUUUUCUAACACAUUAAAAUGUUCUCUCAAUUAC
rnacentral:lncRNA from 1 species